rnacentral:tRNA from 2 species
GUUCUUAUAGUUGAGAUGUCAACGAUGGUUUUUCAGGCCAUAAGCCUCGGGUAAGUCCGGGUAAGAACUU